UACGGGGGGGGCAAGCGUUGUUCGGAAUUACUGGGCGUAAAGGGCGUGUAGGCGGCCAACUAAGUCAGACGUGAAAUCCCUCGGCUUAACCGAGGAACUGCGUCUGAUACUGGAUGGCUUGAAUCCGGGAGAGGGAUGCGGAAUUCCAGGUGUAGCGGUGAAAUGCGUAGAUAUCUGGAGGAACACCGGUGGCGAAGGCGGCAUCCUGGACCGGUAUUGACGCUUAAGCGCGAAAGCCAGGGGAG
rnacentral:rRNA from 1 species